AUCCUCAUGUUCAUAAACAUGAUGAUUGAUUUUUCAGGCCAUUGUGAGAGAUGUGACUCCCUCCAAACUUGUUGCAAUGUUAGCACAUUACCUGAAU